GCGCACCAGGCGCGAAACCUCCGCAAUGCGGGAAACCGCGACGGGGGACCCCGAGUGCCGUGGCAACGCCACGGCUUUUCCGGAGUGUAAAAAGCUCCGGGAAUAAGGGCUGGGCAAGGCCGGUGGCAGCCGCCGCGGUAAUACCGGCGGCCCGAGUGGUGGCCGCUAUUAUUGGGCCUAAAGCGUCCGUAGCCGGGCCCGUAAGUCCCUGGCGAAAUCCCACGGCUCAACCGUGGGGCUUGCUGGGGAUACUGCGGGUCUUGGGACCGGGAGAGGCGGGGGGUACCCCUGGGGUAGGGGUGAAAUCCUAUAAUCCCAGGGGGACCGCCAGUGGCGAAGGCGCCCCGCUGGAACGGGUCCGACGGUGAGGGACGAAGGCCAGGGGAGCAAACCGGAUUAGAUACCCGCGUAGU
rnacentral:rRNA from 1 species